AAAAAACGUAUCACAUUCAGAGAGACUCAGAAAAUGGAUGUAUACAGUGAAUGGAAAGAACAAUGGGAUUUCACACCUGUAAUAAUGAUGUCACUCUAGCUUAGUGACAUCACUGGCCAGUAUGAUUGCAUCACUUUGGCUUCUUGACAUUUUAGAUUAUCAUGACAACACUCUGACCUAAUAAUAUCACAUGAUGACAGGUAGGUCUAUGUAGGAGUCAUAGUGAUUGUAGAGGUCUAUGUAGGAGUCAUAGUGACGGUAGAGGUCUAUGGAGGGGAUACAGUAAUAGUACUGGUCUAUGGUAGGGUUACAGUGAUGGUAGAGGUCUAUGUAGGAGUCAUAUUGAUGGUAGAGGUCUAUGUAGGAGUCAUAGUUAUUGCAGAGGUCUAUGUAGGAGUCAUAUUGAUGGUAGAGGUCUAUAUAGGAGUCAUAGUGAUGGUAGAGGUCUAUGGAGGGGAUACAGUAAUAGUACUGGUCUAUGGUAGGGUUACAGUGAUGGUAGAGGUCUAUGUAGGAGUCAUAUUGAUGGUAGAGGUCUAGGUAAUAGUCAUAGUGAUUGUAGAGGUCUAUGUAGGAGUCAUAUUGAUGGUAGAGGUCUAUGUAGGAGUCAAAGUGAUGGUAGAGGUCUAUGUAGGAGUCAUAGUGAUGGUAGAGGUCUAUGUAGGAGUCAUAGUGAUGGUAGAGGUCUAUGUAGGAGUCAUAGUGAUGGUAGAGGUCUAUGUAGGAGUCAAAGUGAUGGUAGAGGUCUAUGUAGGAGUCAUAGUGAUGGUAGAGGUCUAUGUAGGAGUCAUAGUGAUGGUAGAGGUCUAUGGAGGAGUCAUAGUGAUGGUAGAGGUCUAUGUAGGAGUUACAGUGAUGGUAGAGGUCUAUGGAGGGGUUACAGAAAUAGUACAGUGAUGACGCGUCUAUAGGAGUCUCUGUGAAAUAACAGGGAUGACUUUUCAUAUGAGAAAUGUGAAUGCAGACGAUGACCGAGGUCUCUGCCCAACAGUAGCUUCCACAUCCCAACAUGAGCAGCAAUGCAACAUAAAGAAAGUGGACAAAGGGUCAUUCAGUGCACUGCACGCU